AAGAGCUUUUUGAGGAGCUUCUGCGUGAUUUUUGAAAGAUUGUUGAAUUAAUUGGGAGAAUACGUGGAUUAAGUUGAGGAGAGGUACGAUGAUCGGUUAGAGGCGAUUAAUCGGAGUUAAUGAGGUUAAUUAUGAAAUUCCGAAGGAUGAAUUGGGGUCAUUAUGGCCCUCUCUUCUUUCCCGGAGUAAUCGAGGUAUGGGAAUCAUGAGGAAGGGAAAAAUAUCGAUUCAUCAAUUUUGAUUGAUCGAUAGCUUCUUUAUUUGUUAAUGACAGUUUGAAAAAAAAAAUCCCCCGAUCUUUGUAAUCGUAUCGUUAUCUGUUAUUGCUUGAUAGAUACUAUUUUCAAUUUAACGCCUGGAGUCAUCACAUCCAACACACCCAGUGAUUAUUACCGUGUGAAGUGAGCACAUAAUAGAUAAUUUCUCGUAAAGAUGAAUAGAAUUAGUCGGGGAGUGAAAAAAAAAUUGUAAUUGUUGAUGCGCGUGGAGUUUUUAUAUUUUUUAUGUCCUCCAUUGUGAUUUUUUAUAACCCACUGGAAUUUUCUCUCGACUGUUGAUAGCCGUUGAAAUUAUUGAAUAUAAAUGUCCGACUGACAAUGCAACAGUCACAUAUAAAAGUAUUAUCGUUCUUACUCUGAACUUUAAAAUCCGGGGAUUUCCCUCUAUCAAGAGACCGGAAUCGUGAUAAGACGAUAGGUCGAAUGUAACCGAACUUUGGGACAGAUGUUCUUUGACUUUCUCCGGAUGAGGAAUUUUCAUCGCAGCUCGAGAGUUUUCCAACUAAAAUGCGGUGGAAAAUGAAAAAAAAAAUCACUGGAGAAUUUAUAAAUUCCCGGAAAGUUAGCGUGUCGAUGUUCACACGAUUCGCACGGAUUAUGGUGCCUCCAGGGGUGUAUGGAGUGCAUGUGCGUGCGGCCUUAAGAGCUUGUGAAUCCCCCGUAGUGCCCAAUUAGCCGGGCAGCGCCGGUCACGCCGUGGAAUCUCCUUAAGGAUAGGACCCACGCUGUAGCAUUGUAUUAUAUCAGUGUGCGAAUAAACCAACCAGUAGCCAAUACAAAUCCCACAAAUGUUUGCCCCUUCAUCAGAAUCCCAUAAAUCCCAGCAAAAAAUCCAGCGACGGAAUACGGAGAAACGUCUUCUCAAUUUCUUCCGAUUUUAUUUUUAAAUUCUCAUCCAAUAACGAUGCGGUCAUCGGGUUUAUUCGACGAUUUGGGGCCUCUCUGGGUCAGUUGCUUGAUCGGUCCAUUGAUGCGUCUCCGGCUGGACUCGCGGCAUUUUUUUUUUAAUAUAAAUCUUCCGAAUUGCGGGAGAUUUCAAACGAUUGGAAGUUGAGAUGAUGGAUAUUUUAUUUAUGUUUAUUUAUGGUUAGUUGUUAUUGGGUUUAUUUAAUUUUUUAUAGUUAUAUUCCCCCUCCACUUUCUCGUGCAUCGACUGCUCGAGGCGACGACUCGAGGCGAUCGUUCAUUUGGAAUCAAAAUCGAAUUCAUCUCGGGUGAAAUAAAAAAUUAACGACGAACGCGUCGUUAAUCUUGUUCUUGUGUUUGGAUCAUAAAAUAUUUUUCUACAAAUUCUUGGUCAUAAAAUACAGUGAGUUAGGUAUCUCAGGGGAGAACAUAAAUUUAUCUUGUUUUCGUCACGGAAUAAAUUUUUUGAUGAGCAAUUUUUUACAUCGGGUGAUUUGUACUGCAGAUUUAAAUUGUUGAUUGCGAAUUUGUGACGGGAGGCGAUGAUGAUUCAAUUUUUGAACACCUCCAGAGGAAAAUUUACCCUCUAAAUAAAUCGUUUAAAUUAAACGUUAAUUGUUUUUUGGAUAAAAAAAAAAAUUUAUUAGGGUUUUUCUUUAAGAGAAAAAAAUUGUUAAUCGACGGGUUGAAUUCGCUUUUGAAUUUUCCAAAAACUCCUCGAGUGUUUCCUCUUCCCCUCUUCAGGACGACAGUCUCCAUCGUUAAACCUUUACAGUCCUUAACCUUAUACUUGUCGAGGCAUAAAAAUUUAACGCGGAAAAUUUCCACUCAGUAAAACUUUCCCCGUUUACCGAUAAUCGAGGCUAUUCUAUUUUUCUCCUUCCACUUGAAAAAAAAAAGUCGUUGUCACAACGUCAGUCUUUGUACUGAGGGUGUGAUAGUUAGUAGACGUCCUUGCCACGCCAAUUCUUGCUGUGUCCACGCGGUGCCCCAUUCUCCACAACCCGAGGGCGUGGUUGGGACCGUUUUCCACGACAUUUUGAUGCCUGCAGACCACGUUCACCAGGGAACGCACGUAAAGCCACGAGGAUAUUCCCGUAAUUGCGAUAAAACUCGUUUCCAACUCUCCAACAUUUACUCGUGGGGUCAUCAGUGCUUUUUUUUUUUUCGUCAUUACUUUUUACGAAUGGAGAGACUGAUCCUCGGGACAGAAACGAGGAAAUAUUUGAAUUUUCACGGAGAAAAUGUACAUUUGCGAUUAAUUGCAAAUAUUUCCUGGGAAAAUUACUGAGAUUUAAAUAUUUGCAAUUCACUGCACGUUUUUGUUCUGCAUAAAUAAUUCGAUUUUUAGUAUUUUUUUGAACUCUGUAAUUUCUGGAAUUAUUCGACGAUUCUCUCGGUUAGGACAACCGUUAGGUUCUUAACUUUUUACCACACACACGUGGGGAGAGUCACGUAUGUUUGAACCGCUGAAGGUGAAAGUUUAAUACGUUCGAGUGACUCCGUGAAUUAUGAGGAAAACGCCGAUAAAUUAUUUAAUGAAAUUGGGUUUUUGGGUUUUUACGUCGUCGCGUGAUAGAAAUUUUGAGUGAUAUUGCGUGAGAAUUCCCGGGUAAUUCUUUCGGUAAAAUAAUCACGUACCGGUACAUGAUCUAAUAACUCAGUGACGGAUGAUGUUAAUAGACAUUUUAACAGGCCAUUUCACCCACGAAAUUCCUGAUUUAUUAAUCAUCAAAUUUCAAUAAUUUUCGGCCGGUCCGGUUCAAAUAUUUCCCGCCGAAUUACCUCGCUCUCGAAGUCAUUAUGCGUUAGUUACAGCUGGAGAUUUUCCUCGCUCAUUUUUUUAAUAAUUUUCAUCGGUAUAAUUGCGACUUAAUUUUUUAAGCACUUGAAAUUUUAUGACGAAUGUCUUUACGAAAAUUCUACGUUUCCCAUAAUCCACUACUGACCAUUAUCCCCUGAAUUGCCUCACUUUGAAAGCAAUUAUCCGACAUUUUUUGCGAAUAAUUUUCGUGGCUGUAUUUAAGAAAAAUGUUGAGUGCUGAAGAUUACAUGGUCUUUGCAAAGGAUUUCUCCGAGCGUUCCCUGAAAUAAAAUUACGACUUAAUUAGUUAAUGAUCCAAUAUUUUAGUAAUGAACACCGCUAGGAGACAUGUUUAUGGAAUUUCACGCGAGAAGAAUUUAACGAUGAUUUUUUAUCCGAAUUUUUACGCUCGAACCGACUCAUUUGAAUAUUCCCGUAAAAUUACCUCAUUGUCUAAACAAUAAUUUGUAUUUUUUCUUUUGUCGGUUGUAUUUCCAGUGAAUCUUCGGUGCUGGAGAUUACAGUGUCUUUCAAAAGUUCUUCCCCGACCGUUCCCUCCAAUAAAAUUAUGACUUAAUUUGUUAAUGAUUCAAUAUUUUAACGCUAAUGUUGCUAGGAGACAUGUUUAUGGAAUUCCACAGGAGGAUCGGCUGUGUAAUCAUGCAUUUCAUGACGAUAUUUUUAAACUGAAAAUUUUAUGAUCGAGACCUACUUUGACUAGUCUGAUAAAUGAAAAUUGGAAUUUCAUGGAUCACUCGGUGAUAAUUUUCACGAGAGCGAUGGCGAUUUGACUCGGGAGACUAGAAAAUUAUGAAAUUGAAAAUUGCAAUGAUUAUUCAGCCUCAGGGAUUUACCGACUGAGUCGGACCGGUCAAUUUACCGCCCCUGAGUGCCCCAUUACAAUCCUCAUCACCUCAACUUAAAAAAAAACCCAAAUAACCAAUUAAACUUUCCACCGACUCAUUAAUCAAUCGACUCGAUUGAUUAAAUCCCUCAAAUAAUUUUUAAUUUACUAUUUACCCCCCAAACAAUUUUCUAAAGUCACUUUCCCCUCACAAAACAAAAUUUCCAUUGAGUCCUCUAAUUUCCUCCUUCAUCGGACUGAUAAUUACAAUUUUAUUCUAUCGUGGGAAGUUUUUUAAAUAAAAAAAUUUACCUCUCACGUUAUUUUCAACAAAAAAAUUCACUUCAUUUAAAUAACUUUGAGCCAAGUACAUCAGACUUAUUUAAUGUUACUUUACAACAUCCGAUUUUCCCCUUCGAUAUUCUCUCAAAGUGCAAAUGAUCACUCGGUUAAUUACGUUCACCUCAUUAACUUCCAUUCUCCCUCCCUUGUGCCCACGCAUUAACGAUGCCACAAGUCCUUUUCAGGUGGAAUUUCCAAUCCCACUCUUUUCACCCCUUCUCCCCCACCCCCCCUCCCACUCCCUCCAACCCCCCACAUAAAUCGCCUGUCCUCCCUGAUCGCCAAACAAGAGGUGAAACAAAAUACCAAAGAGCAAAAGAAAUAUCUAUCCCCUUUGUUCUCGUUACAAACCCCUCGGGUGUGAGGAAUGAGUUGUAAUUGUUGUUUCUUUUAUUAACCUAACGAAGCGUGUAUAACCAUCUCUUAACGAGGAUCUGCAGUCUUAUUACUCCGGGCAAUUAAAAUAGCUCAGGUUGCUCUAUCAUUUAUUGAUUCUGAAUCGUGAUUUAUGGCGAAUGCACCGGGACGAGGACAAAAGUCACUUUGGAAUUCUUCUGGAAUUAUUUAUAACACUCCAUAAAGUCGAGUUAAUAUUUACGUUGGGUAAACGCGGUGAGUUCUAGGGAAUUUAAUUUCCCGGUGGAUGAAGGGAAUUUCAACCCCCGAAUUUCACAGGUUUUUUUUUAUUAAAAAUAAUAAAUCUGGGGAUUUAUUGAAGAUUUGCGAUAUUUAUUUUAUUGAAGUGUGAUAUAAAAAUCGAAAAAUUAUUAUAAAAUGAUAGUAAGGGUUUUGUUUUACAUUGAAGUAAUGGGUGACGGUAAUUGACUUUCGUAUUGAUGAUAAUUAUAAUUUCUCGUGGCGUUUUAACUCCUGAAAAUUCCGUUAACACGUAAAAAUUUUGAACCACCCAAUAAUUUUCUUCUCCACCCCCUCGGUGAAUUGAAAUUCUUGUGGUUUUAGAGAGUGAAGAAUUAGUCGAAAGUAGUAAUUCCAGACAACAAUGGAGGAAAUCUACGAUACACCACUCUCUCCGUGGUUGGUUUAUUAUAGCAAUCAAAAGAGGCGAGAAAUUGCGGCGCGGGCUUCGCGCAAUUAGCCGUCACCGCUUCAGACCUCCACUUCGAAUAAUUACAACAAAACUAGUAUUAUUAACAAAAAAAAAAUUAGAAAAAUCACAUUGUUUACCCCUCCCCAGUUAGCGUGAAGGGAGAAGUGGCUUUUUCCGUUUUAUCGAUUUCCCUUUUUGGCGGGAAUUGAAAGAAAAUAUUUUUUUUGGAACCCCUUGACCCCUGUUCUUCCUCUUGUUGCGAAUUUCUCGGUGAUAUCCCUUUCUGCGAAGUCGGCAGGACGAGGGCGAACGGUCAGGGCCGGCGCGUUCCUUGCGGGAGGUCCCCUCCUGGGACAAUGUACGUAUCUUUGUCUCGGCGGUGUCGCAACUGCUUCUGCGGGAGAGUAGUAUGAGAGACCCGGUAGGUAAAAGGCGCCGAUGUGGAUCGCCAAGGAGUUGUGAUUCUUGUGCAACAAACACGACUAUAACAACCCUCUGUGUAUUCACUGGGUUAAUAAUAAUCGUGUGAGGAUUUAUCGGCCUCCCAGGGAUUUUAUCAAUGAAAAUAUUAUUUUUCAGAAUUUUUUUUUUCAUAUUUUUGAAGGGGAAAUGAAAAUUUCCAAUAAAAUCAUUUUUUCGACUGAUCAAUCGAUCUAUUUAAACUCAUCUUCGGUAUUAGCGGGAGGAAUUUCAAAUUUCAUCACGGAAAUUGUUGAAUUUUCUCUCUAUUAUUCCAAAAUUAAUGUAAUCACACAUUUUUUAUUUAACAAAAAUUUAUGUGACCCAAAAAAUCACAGAAUAUAUUGGAAAAAAUUAAUAAUUAAAUUCAAAUUGUUGUGAUUUAAAUUUCCAAAAAUUACUCUCGUCAUUUCAGCAAAAACUUUCAUUACUAUAAUUAGAAAAUCAUUAUCGCGAGCAGCAGAUGAUUAAUUAUCAUCAGUAAUCCAGAAAGGUCAAGCCCUCCGUAAUAUAUCAAUAUCCUCCCCCCCCACUCCCUCACCAUCCGAUUAACUCGGUGAAAUAAUUUUUGAAAUAUUCAUUUAACAAAAUGAAUUCGUUCUCGAUAGCCAUGAAUAUCGCAAAUGACUUGAAUUCACAUCGUUGGGCCCAUUAUCGCGUAUGCUUUGAACCGGUUACACUUCGCGUAACGACACCGUGACGCCCCUGACUCCUUCGCACGAUUGAUCAGACUCAAAAUCUACCACAUUAAUCAGCGAAAAAAAUGUUGAGUGUGUAGGUGAAUGGAUUUUAUAAAUGCGAUAGGUGAAUUUUGAAUAAAAUAACACAGCUUUAAAAUCACGGUGAGCCCAGUGUCCCUGAGUAAAAAUGAAGCCGAAUAAAAUGCGAGACCGGGGGAAAUGGUUUUUGAAAGGCGUGUAACGAUUGUUGUUCUCGACUUAAGGUCGACCACCUUCGAUUAACAAUCACGGGUAGUUAAUCAAAUGUUUUUCUUUAUAACUUUCGAGCCGGUGAUUAAUUACAGGGGAAAAAAUUGAAUAUUUUUUGCUGAUCCAUCUUCAUAAAAAAUAAUGACAAAUUAAAUAACAGGUUGACAAGGAAUAAAUGAAUGGCAAUUGAUAACCAACGAAUUACUGAAUAAUUUCAUUAUUUAAUUUCACUCCAAUCAAUUAAUUUUAAUCCUUAAACAAAGUCAAAUAUUUUUAAAAAAAUGUUGAAAUGUCCGAUUUAAAUUCAUCUCCAGACUUGAGUCUUUACCAAUAUUUAUCAUUAAAAUUAGAGUAAAUUAACAAUCGUUUGGAUAAUUUAAAAAAUAUUUAUCUCUAUAAACUCGAGUCAGCGUUCGUCGAAAAUUUAUUCCUUUGAUAUUUAACUUGAUUUUUGAUACGUUCAGGUGAAAGGGAAAAAAUAGAUAAUACAGACGAUAAAACGAACAUCCAACAAUAUCACGCCAUAAAUUUGAGCUAAAAGGAAAAAUAAAAAUAAUGAAAUAAAAAAAAAUGAAAAAAACAAUUGUAUACAGUCCGAGAGACGUUUUGGCCUCCCGGUAACGUGAAAUUUACAGCUUACCAUUACAAACUCGGUACCGAUAUAUAUUUUCUUUGUCUUGUCGUUUUCAGAGACAGAGACGAGGAAAAGAGAGUCAGUAUUCAGGUACCUCUCUGGGUCGGACGACGGGCGCACGCCGAUGGUCCACACAGAGAGGUACCCUAUACGUUCACCUCUCGGUUGUACCCGAGGUCGGGCUAUUCGGUCUUGCAAAACGAUUUGCCUGGUGUGUUUCCAACUCCUCCCGCACCUCCUCAUCCUCACUCCUCGUCCUCUAGUCGCUAUUCUUCUCCUUUAUUCUUCGUUGAUUUUUUUACCCCGCUCUCAACUCAUCUCUCGAUCUUCAGCCGUUGGGGUCUUGAACUUAUUUUGCUAUAAAAGUUUGCCAAUGCGAUGGGGGGUAGAGAUGUGAGUCAAACUGAUGUUUUCUCACAUUUGUGGGGGUUAAAAUUAGCUUAAUAAAUUUUAUUGACGAGGCCGGAGGUAUUUUGGGGUCGGGGAGAGGGGUGGGGGUGCGAUUGGGUGGUUUAAAAAUUAUCCGGGGACUUCAAAGUGAAGAUAAUUAAUUUUUUUGUCACAUAAACAUUUGUCGAGACGAAAAAAAAAUUUUUUUCCUCAAUUCUCAAGCUUUUAUUUAAAGUUCUGAAUUUUUUAAUAAUCACACAGUGACUUUCAUCCCUUAAAUCGUGUUCUUCAUACAAAAAAUAUCAGCGACACCCCCCAAGACGUUGAAGAACAAUUUAAUGAUUUAACAAAAAGGAAAUAUAUUUUUUUUUUUGCAAAAAAAUUGUUUUUUAAAAUAAGGAAAGACUCACACUUUUUUCAGUCCCCUAUCCCUCCUAUGAAGAAUCAUCUGCUCGCUAUAAAUCAUUGGCUCAUCCUUAAUUUCCCACAAUUUUUUGACCAAUAAACCCCAUACACGGAAUGUUUAUGUGCGUGUGUCCGCGUUCCAAUUACUAUAGCGGUGCAACAAGUAGCUAUUCCAAUAUAAAGUAUUCCAUGUGCGUACGCAAGGAGCCAUGUAACACGCACGUCUUGUGGAGUUUAAUAGUGUCAGAAUGAGGCAGAAAAUUGCACACCAGUAAAAGACCGCCAAUAUGUGUACAACACUAUUCCUCCAUUCAUACUGUCGACUGGCAAAAUCGAGUGAAAAUUCACCGGCAUUCCCUUCCUCGCGCAUUUCUUCUUCACCUCCUUAUUCUCCAUCAGUUUCUGGUGCGUUAACGACUCACGUACCGGCUAUUUAUCAUCGAAUAAAACACCUGUGUGGGGAUAACCCGAGUCCUUUCAAUAUUCGACGCAAUUCGAAUGUUAUUUUAUAUUUUAUACCGUCGAUCGAGGGAAGGAAAAUUCAUUUAUCUCAGUGAGCGACUUUUCCGUUAAUCGCGGAACGAAUAUCUUCGUGGUAACGGGAAAUCCAACGUUGGAAUGUCUUUCACAAAUAUUUGGAAAAGUUUAUGCCCUAAAAAAUGACUCAAAACUGCUGGAGAACUUCCAAAAGUCUCCAGGAAUUUUAGGACGUGGUAAACCGAGAAAAUGGAAUUUGUGUCGAGUUUUGGGGGAAAAUCUUUGAGUUUAAGGAGUACAACCGAAUUUUUGGUCAGACUUUUUGACGGACGGUGGUGUCAUCCCUUCCAUUAACGGAAUUCCGAUGCUGGAAUUUUAUUUACAAUGUGAGGUGGUUGGUAUGCUACCCAGGAAUGAUGGGAGAGUCUAUAAAAUAUAUUUCCGUGAAAAAUUUCUCGUUUACCCGACGGGCAUUUAUGCACCGGCACGCGUGUGCACGUGUGCCCCUUUCCACUGUCCAUGUCUCUCAAUCGCUUCCACGCAUGCGCAAUAAAGUGCAUUUGUAUUCACGGUCAAGUCCAAAUAAUCCUCGUAAAGCAUGUCUCGUGUCUGUGGGAAUAGGGGAAACGGUGUAAUUAGGGGAAGUAGGUUGCGUAAAUUCACUUGACUUGUUUUCCUGACUUUUCAUGGCCUUGAAGAUUAAGAGUGAAUAUUUUUUCCGAGGGAUUUCAGGGAUAAGUAGAGAACCUUCAAGUUCAAUUAAAGAUUCCGGUAAUAAUUCUAUCAUUUUUUUUAUAAAUUCAAACGUUUAUUGUUGCCAUCACAAUUUUUUUUGGGUCGCUAUAAUAUAAAGUUACGAUUUAAUUAAUAUUGUAAUCACUAAUUACUUAAAUUGAUAGUUAAUUUUCAUCCUGAGUAUUUACAAGAUAAGGGGAGACUAAUAAAUUUUAGUAAAGUUCAAUAUUGGAUUUUAUAAAUAUUUUUAAAGACACGAAAAAAAAUUUUGUUUAAAAAUUAAACCUCCGGGGGGCAAAGGGGGGGGACGAAGUAGAGUUCUACCCCAAAAAUUAGCCCCCCAAGUCUAAUUAUUCCAACUGAACUUGACCUACAAAGUGAUUAAUUAUCAUUUCGUCCCACGUUUCCUCCUCUCGAGCUCCAAUUUUAAUCCAAAAUUUCUGUGUAAUUAAUUUCAACUGGAACUGGAGGUUCAGAAUAAUUUUGUUUUCACGCUCAUUGAUAAGUAUUGAAUAUUGAUAAUUUUGAGGAAUUUUUUCAUCGCAUUUUUCCCUCCCCCUCCUAAUCGACCUGUCUCGACCGUCGACGCAGGUUUCGCGUCUGUUGGGUUUUACUGUGGCAUUUACCGUUACAUCCCGACACUCGCUGACUAGGACGUAGCUUCUUUACCCCUGUUCACUCACUCCUCAUAUCUCUAACACACACAUAUACACACACAGACGUGUAGAACCAUUGCCUCUGCGAAAAUAUUGGCAAAAUCAAUCGCCGGGCGGUUCGGGUAAAUGCUGAGGGGAAAUGACGGGGGUGAAAGGGGUAACUGAAGUUAUUUAAACAAAUUCAUUGGGACAGUUGUGAUUACAGUUGACGUUGAUGAAUCGAAGUGAUCUGGGGAAUGAGCUAGUCAUCAGUGGAACAUGUUUCUAACAGCAUGAAAAUUUCCGGCUCCAUUCGAUGCGGAGAAACUUGUAGACAAUUCGAAAAAUUAAAUCCAUCUGUUGGCGAAUGAAUUGAACGAUAUUUUCCACGUGGAAAAAAUAUUUAAUAACAAUUAUCAGAUGAAAAAAACGAUAUAUAAUUUUUUCGUUGGGAUUUGCACGUUUUACACGUCGUAAAAAUUAUUUAAUUGAUGAAACUAAUUAUUUACGUCGUUCUGAUGAUUUUUGACUAUUGAAGAACCUGAAAAUUCAUUUAAUGAGUUGAUUGAGGAAAAAAAAAUUGUAUUCACUAAAUUGAGAUUGAUGAGUUCCUCAAACUUGUGUGGAAUACUCACUCGAAAAGUAAAACCCUAGAAAUUCCCUAGAACUCCCCAUUUUCCAAAUAAGAGAAUAAAAAUUCUUCCCCUAAUCGCAAUUACCUGUUUAAUCACCCGAUAAUCGUAGGAAAAUCAUUAUCGGUGCGAGUGAAUAACUGGAAACAAUUUUCUCCACAAUUUCCAUUGCAUAAAAAAAAAAAAAUUAGGAGUAGAAAGAUAAAUACAUGCCUCUCGAUAACUAGGCAAUGGAGAAUUCGUAGAAGUCGUUUUCACAGAGUCGUUAUUGUCUCUGCGUGUCGAAUCCGUCGUCUUCAGUGAGGAGUUUUGUUAUCUCACAGCCUCAUGAAGCAUGUAUGGAUGUGUGGAUGUGUACAUGUGUACCAUACUCGGUAUUUAUAAACAACUUCUCGUGCAACUUCAGCGGUGGUCACCUGAUGGGCUUAAGUACACCGGGUUGUCAGGGGGUUGGAGACCUGGCUUAUCAGGUAUGAGGGCCUCUGUCGUUUUCUACCAGUCGUAUAUUUGAUAAUCCGACACUGUUAUCAUGGGGUAAACGAUCUGGCUGAUGGGAAGCUCGGGUGGGGAUAAUUUCUAAUCAAAAUGUUGAGGAAAAAUUUGGCCCGAUUAGAGAAUUUUUCAGGGGACGACACCUCUCCGGCGGAAUAUUCAUUCGGAAUAAUUAGAUAUCGAUGGGUCGAUGGGCGGGUUUACCGUAUUGAGUACCGGUGACGGUAGACUAUCGGUUGCCGACACUCAUAACAAUUUUUUAAUAUUUUUUUUUGUCUGCACGGUUCGGAAAUUUCUACUGAAAUUUCGAGCGAGAAAAGUUGAAUAUUUUCACGUUCACUUAUUUCCGCUAUUUAUUGUACUUUGUUAGUAACAAUCAGUUGAAUUAUGACGUACUUAACGGAACCGCAGUUUGUUCAGUCACGUGACAAUGAAAACUGUCAAAUUAAUUUAAUCCAAAUGAUUACAUACGAAAAAUUCUUUCGAAAUUCCGCGAUUACUUCGGUUGACGUGAAAUUGAAUUCGUGUUUAGGACGUGAUUAUUAGCUAAUUAAAAAAAUCAUUUCACUAUUUCACAAUAGAGUUAAUUCGCAGAAUUCGCUGGCUGUUCUCCUAUGAACGUUCGAACAAUAAUUUCUACCGUCCGAUAAAGAUCCCCCCGAAAGGAUAAUUGACAGUCGUCGGCGCUAGCCGAUAAUCCCCCGAUCUUUCUCCCGUCAUUGGCAAAAAUCACGAUAGAUGUGUCCAUCGAUAUUCCAGUUACACCGACACAGGACCGUUAAUUGUGGAAUGACUCGUUCAAGACAGAUAUACGAGGCGAAUGUUGAUCCUGGGUAAAGAAAAGAAGGCCCCGGGUCGAUGAAAGAGGGAGAUUGCGGUGGGGGAGUCAUUUGAAUAGAAUAGAGACUGUGAUUUACGUAUCGCUGCGCUUGAAAAUUCUUUUCAUAAAUAUUUUCAACUCAGUUCCAUAUAAAAAAUUCACGAGCUAAUGCAAUAUCUCCAUUUUUACAUUCACUAUCAUCCUGAAUAUCUAAAAAUUCAGUUCACCCUCGAAAUAAUAAUCAACAAUUAUUGCUAUCGCUCACAUAAAAUUGUUAAAUAUAUUCUCCUAUUAAUCACACGAAUAUUCUCCAAAUUAAUUAAACAUCUCUAACAAUUCUCCAAUAUUUACCAAAAAAUUUGGAAAAAAUAUUCGUGAUAAUCAACCAAAGCCCAGAAUCACUUCAAUCAAUUUUUUACCGAUUAAUUAAUAACCAAAUCCAUCUCCCUUCAACACCAAUAACAAUUAACCCUGAUAAUAACAUUCCCCAUAUGCAACACCGUCUCCUCACUAUUUUUCUCGAUCCAAAACCCCCUAAAAUUCUCAAAAAAAAAUAUUUCUCAAUCCACCACCAAACUUCUACCCCCAUCCACACUCACCCCAAUCCACCCUCCCCCACUGUACUCACCACCAUCAAAAAAUACCCCCGAGAAUUAGUACCAAAUAGAAUGAAGAUACAUCACAGCAACAAAGUGCAUAUAUCGCUACUUAAUCUACAAACAUUCCGGAUACGAUCGCCCCCGGGGUCUUAUGAAUAUAUUUUCAAUAUAUCGCCGCUUUCACUCCAUACACACGCAAUGGUAUAAAAAAACGGCCCAGAGGAGCAGAGGGAGAAAUGAAUAAAAAAAAAAAAUUGUUAAAAAAACCAUGAGGCAGUCUUGGGAUGCAUUCAAGAGAGUCGCGCACGCCUGGACAUAAAUUCGAAAUGCCUUGGGCACAUGGGGUAUUGGGUAUGUGGGUAUGUACACAGUAGGCAAUAGGAUAAGGGAUACCCAGAGGAAAGAGGGCUCGGGACGAGGACGAGGGCCACACAGAGGCCAACUGCA